CCGGGGGGCUUUGGGGAGAAAAAGGAAAAAAAAAAAUGAAAUCUUUAAAAAAAAAAAAAAACCCAAAUGCUCUUUCUACAGUUUUUCCCUACCUACUGGUCCUAAGUACAUAUUCAGCCCGUCUAUUGUGUGACGUUUUUCCCACGUAUAUCCCAUAGGCUCUGAAACUUCCUGCUGGGCUAGUGGUACCUGGGCAGACUACGGCAUGAGUGAAGACCUUCCCAGAACCUGGCCAAAACACAUCAGUGGUUUCAAUCUUACUACCAACGGCCCAGGACCAGUACAUGCAAAGUUCUGGGCUAUGCACCAUGAAGAGCACAAAGAUGCAUAAGAUCUUUCUUGGACUUCUCACAGAAAAAACAAUCUCAUAGCAAAGAGAAGACACACACAUCUCAGAAUCACGGAAUUUCACAGCUUGAAGGGAUGCUCAGUUUAUUUCAUCCAAUAUAGGUAACCACACAGGAGAGAUCCUGUGUUGAAAACAGGAAAGUUUCUUUCUGAUCUCUUAAAAAUUUACCUUUACACCUACAUUAAAUGAUUAGGAUUUUCUCUUCACUUGAAUUCUUCUGCUUGUGAAAUGCCUCUGUGUGCCUUUUACCCAGUUUUCUUUUGUAGUGUUGGUUUUAUCAUGAAUAAAACACACAUACACACAUAGCAAAUAUCUAUCAUCUAUCAUUUUUUUGCGAAUCUUUUAACUGUUGAGAUUUUUCCCUUAACGUUAUUCAUGUUUCGUUGUUGGUUUUUGUUUUCUGGUUUUUGGUUUUUUUUUUCCUUUUUGAUAAAGAAAAACCUAUAGAGCAUUUCUUCACUGAUUCUAUCUUGAGGCCAUUUUUUAAAAAGAAUUAGAGAGUCACCAGUGUUUUCAUCUACUAGUUGCAUGGGCUCAUUUAAAAAAUGCAAUUAUUCAGUCCACUGGGGAUUUUAGUCUGGGGCAUACUGUCAAAUAAAGUUUCAAUUUAAUUCAUUUUCCACAUACUUAUAACAUUAAAGGUGAAUAGAUGGUACCAAAAAACAAAAAUUUUUGAAAAGGAAAGAAAAAAGAAAAUCACACACAAAACUGAGAACAAUUAAGCCAGUCUCAGAUUUCUCCACAGCAACUUUCCACACCAGAGGACAACUGACCAGUGUUUGCAGAGUUCCAGAAGAAAGAAACCAGCACCCAAGAGCAGUCUGCCUAACCAAGAUGUCUGCAGAGGACAAACAGAACAAAAGACAUUCUCAGCAAGAAACAGCCACCCAUGAGACCUUUCUCAAGAAUUCUACUUAAUGAUGGAAACUAGACCACUAAAAUAUGAAUCAAAAUUCAAGGAUGGAAAAGUCAAGGUAAAAAACAUCAUGAACACAGGGCCAAGGACAGAGCCAGAGGAGGCCCAUGGGUGGCGCUCAGGAAGCCCUAGUCCCUGACUGCUGCCGCCUAGAAAGAGACUGGCAGCAUGGGCUGAUACACAGCAGGGUUCAUUGUUCUACUUGACUUCAAUGCUGGCGACAAUCUACGUGUUGUGGGUGAGCCGCACAAAGGUCCGUGCAGUUUGGUCAAGCUGACUUGCUGGGGGGACUUUCUGAAGGAGAACUAUCUGCUCAGUACUUGUGAGCUCAUAUUGUUCAUACAGUUCACCAGGACUGUUUCCAUAAAUCUUAUUCAAUUCUAAAUGACCUGAAAAAUGUUCACGGUCCCAUUAGCUAAAGGCUUUGUCUUUAGGUCAAAUCAAGUGUGGAAGUCUAGAAACAAUGAUCCCUUUAUUCACACAGUGUUCAUUAAAACUAACAUUAGGAAAUAAUUAAAAAGAAAAAGCUGUGCUCAAUUAAAAAAAAUAAGUUCACUAUUACCAUAUAUCUAUUUCUUUAGAUAUUAAAAUACUAAACUUAAGGAAAGACAUGAUUUAUUCUUGUGUCUCAAAAUUGAUUAAUCUAAAUUAAAAGUAUUCAACACCUUUACCUGGCCUUAGCUUUUGAGAACCUGAACUGAAAGAUAACUUUCUUGACUGUUUUGAAUGAGACAAUCAAGACUAUAGCAAAAUCCAGACUAAAC